rnacentral:rRNA from 1 species
CCUACUGGCGGCAGCAGUGGGGGAUAUUGCACAAUGGGGGGAACCCUGAUGCAGCGACGCCGCGUGGGUGAAGGAGCGUUUCGGCGCGUAAAGCCCUAUCGGCAGGGAAGAAGAUGACGGUACCUGACCAAGAAGCCCCGGCUAACUACGUGCCAGCAGCCGCUGUAAUACGUAGGGGGCAAGCGUUAUCCGGAUUUACUGGGUGUAAAGGGGGCGCAGACGGCAAUGCAAGCCAGGAGUGAAAGCCCGGGGCCCAACCCCGGGACUGCUCUUGGAACUGCAUGGCUGGAGUACAGGAGGGGCAGGCGGAAUUCCUAGUGUAGCGGUGAAAUGCGUAGAUAUAUGGAAGAACACCAGUGGCGAAGGCGGCUCUCUGGUCUGCAACUGACGCUGAGGCUCGAAAGCAUGGGUAGCGAACAGGAUUAGAUACCCUUGUAGUC